UGAUGUUCAAGUCUUGUUACAAUGUAUACGUUGAUUUAUCCAUAUCAAUUAGCUAGGCGUUGACUCCCAAUUAUAACAAUAUAGUUAUACCAAAUUAUUUUCUCCCACUUAUUAGCUAGAUCCAAUUAACUCCAUGGAUCAUCAUCAAUUUCUAUAUUAAAUUAACUCCAUGGAUCAUCAUCAUAAUCAACGGCUUCAAUCUCUUCUCACUUUCGUUAUCAUUUCAAAUUUUCUUCUAGUCUCUCACGGCGAAGUAGGCCCAGCCGCGCAAUAUAAUUCUUACCAACAGCGUGUUACGGCUACGAUUCUAGCCAGUUUCCAUCUAGCAAUCUAUUUGCCGCCGCUGGUGAUGGAAUAUGGGACAAUGGAGCUGCUUGUGGGAGACAAUAUUUAGUAAAAUGCAUAAGUGCGACUGAGCCAGGGUAGUGUGUUACGGACCAAGUGAUUCAAGUUAGAAUAGUUGAUUUUACGCUCUCAACGGUUUCUCCGCCAUCAUAUGAAGGGACAACCAUGGUUUUUUCCGACACUGCCUUCAGAACCAUUGCCAAUUCUAGCGCUGUCUCUAUCAAUAUCGAGUUUCAGUAAGGUGUCCAGGUUCACUGAACUACAGAAACCAAGUGAACUGGACAAUACAACUGAGCUGGAGAAGUUAAGUGAAGUGGAGAAAACUGACAAGAUAAUGCCAUCAGAACAAACAAUGUUGAUUCUGCUAGUUGUCGUCCAUUUUAGAGAAGUAUUUACUGGACCAGACCAGUCACCAGUUGUAACAUUACUUCAAUGGCAAGGGUCUCCAGAUGUUACUAGUAGUGAUCCAGUGAAGCUUUCCAGAAGUCCACCAGAGGAGUUUCCCACUGAAGCUCUCCAGUGAUCAACUCUAGUCCAGUCUACUAAAAGGUGCUCCAGAUGAAAUCUCCCGUGGAGUUCCGGAUUGUAUUUCUUGUUUUCCCAAUAAAGUCUGUCUCGUAUGGUGGGGACCAAUAAAGAAGGAAUGACAGCUGUUGAAAAGAAAAGAAGGAAGGUGUGACAACGUUAAUCCUAACGGUUUGAGGGCCCAUUUGCAGAAGGAAUCUUUCUAAAAGCUUUGUGUGUCUCUUUCCUAUUGGUGAAAUAAUUAGUGGCUGUCCCCAUGAUAAAGUUUAGUGGUUGUCCUUUACCCAAGACACCUUUUUAUUAUUUUAUUAUUAUUUCGAUAACUCCUAGGAAAUAGUACUAUCUAUAAAUAGGAGUUGUAUUUCUCAUU